rnacentral:rRNA from 1 species
AUUGAACGCUGGCGGCAGGCCUAACACAUGCAAGUCGAGCGGUAGAGAGAAGCUUGCUUCUCUUGAGAGCGGCGGACGGGUGAGUAAUGCCUAGGAAUCUGCCUGGUAGUGGGGGAUAACGUUCGGAAACGGACGCUAAUACCGCAUACGUCCUACGGGAGAAAGCAGGGGACCUUCGGGCCUUGCGCUAUCAGAUGAGCCUAGGUCGGAUUAGCUAGUUGGUGAGGUAAUGGCUCACCAAGGCGGCGAUCCGUAACUGGUCUGAGAGGAUGAUCAGUCACACUGGAACUGAGACACGGUCCAGACUCCUACGGGAGGCAGCAGUGGGGAAUAUUGGACAAUGGGCGAAAGCCUGAUCCAGCCAUGCCGCGUGUGUGAAGAAGGUCUUCGGAUUGUAAAGCACUUUAAGUUGGGAGGAAGGGCAGUUACCUAAUACGUGAUUGUUUUGACGUUACCGACAGAAUAAGCACCGGCUAACUCUGUGCCAGCAGCCGCGGUAAUACAGAGGGUGCAAGCGUUAAUCGGAAUUACUGGGCGUAAAGCGCGCGUAGGUGGUUAGUUAAGUUGGAUGUGAAAUCCCCGGGCUCAACCUGGGAACUGCAUUCAAAACUGACUGACUAGAGUAUGGUAGAGGGUGGUGGAAUUUCCUGUGUAGCGGUGAAAUGCGUAGAUAUAGGAAGGAACACCACUGGCGAAGGCGACCACCUGCACUGAUACUGACACUGAGGUGCUAAAGCAUGGGGAGCAAACAAGAUGAGAAACCACGGUAGUCAACGACGAAUAAUUCUCGGUGGGCAGCCCGCGCGAUCCAUUCACUCUUUUCGAGCGGCCGCGCGGCGUUUUUCAUAUAAAUAUAACUAGAGUGAGAUGUCAUACGCUCACUGACGCGCUUUUAAUAAAAGGUU